rnacentral:rRNA from 1 species
CCUACGGGCGGUAGCAGUGGGGAAUAUUGGACAAUGGGGGCAACCCUGAUCCAGCCAUGCCGCGUGUGUGAAGAAGGCCCUCGGGUUGUAAAGCACUUUCAGUGAGGAAGAACGCCUGGUGGUUAAUACCCAUCAGGAAAGACAUCACUCACAGAAGAAGCACCGGCUAACUCCGUGCCAGCAGCCGCGGUAAUACGGAGGGUGCGAGCGUUAAUCGGAAUUUCUGGGCGUAAAGCGCGCGUAGGUGGCUUGAUAAGCCGGUUGUGAAAGCCCCGGGCUCAACCUGGGAACGGCAUCCGGAACUGUCAAGCUAGAGUGCAGGAGAGGAAGGUAGAAUUCCCGGUGUAGCGGUGAAAUGCGUAGAGAUCGGGAGGAAUACCAGUGGCGAAGGCGGCCUUCUGGACUGACACUGACACUGAGGUGCGAAAGCGUGGGUAGCAAACAGGAUUAGAUACCUGGUAGUC